ACAUCCUCAGGACUCGUGCGGGGUCCCUGGCUCUCACCCCGCGGGUACCUGCUCGAGCUGCGGGGCUACCUCCAGCACGGCCGCCGCUUUGAGCUCCGCCAUGAUCGUCGCCGCGUCGGAUCCCCGCCGGGAGAGUGUAGCAGAGUCCGCGUUGGAGCCGAGCUGACAGUGGCCGGGCGGGUGGCCUGGCUGUGGCUGCAGUGGUACCUCCUCCGGAGCCCAGGUCACCAUGCACUGCGCACCUCCCUAGCGUAGUGAGGGACUCCUCAGUGUGGCAUGGGCACGUUCUGCGGGUCCUCCUACAUGAUGAAAGGUCCUGCGUCCCACCACGCCCUGUACUCUCUGCUGGAACCAGAGGUGACUGGGCUGGAGGAGGGUCCGGAACAGAACUUAAGUAUGGAAGGACUUACCACAUUCACAAUGGCUGCUCUUCUCUAAGAAUCUCCAGCAAUACACAGCAGGACUGUGAGGCACAGUUCAGAGUCCCAUUGAUAUGUAACUGAAUUGCUGAGAUGGACCAAUGAGAGCCUUCGAAGUCUCUGCUGUCUGCAGGAGCAGUGGCCACGAAUCUGGCUGAAAUGUGGGGUACAUGCUAAUGUAUGGGGAGACCAGUCUUAAACCACUGGAGUAGCUGGUAACUUCAACCUGCUGUGGGGAGGACUGGGCCUCCUGAGAAGGAAAUGACAGAGCUCCCUCCAAGGUCGUUGGUCAAAGGAGACAUGACAGAAGACAAAGAAUAGGUACAACAAGAUGUAAAGUUUAUAUACAAAGAAUAUAAUGUUUAUCUGAAAUAUUUACAGUGUCGGUUAAAGCAAUAUUUUUACAACUUUUCCAGGUCAACUACUACGUAUAUUACAGGGCAUCAUGCAAUGAGGAAUGGUUACUGUGUGCUUAUAAACUGAAGUUCUGUAGCUGGGAUGGGAACGCAUGCAAUGGUCAGAGCUCAUGAGGGCAUAAAACGAGCAACGAAAUGUUUGAAGACUUAGAUGCCGAUUCUCAGGCUGGAACUGAGGAAGACUUUGAGAUAACAGCCAGCUUUAUCUCAACUAAGUCUGGGACCCACAAGCUUAGACCACAGAGGG
ensembl:antisense Gm26771 predicted gene, 26771